UACGUAGGGUGCAAGCGUUGUCCGGAAUUAUUGGGCGUAAAGGGCUCGUAGGCGGUCCAUCACGUCGGGAGUGAAAAGCUGGGGCUUAACCCCAGUCCUGCUUCCGAUACGGGUGGACUAGAGGUAGGCAGGGGAGAACGGAAUUCCUGGUGUAGCGGUGAAAUGCGCAGAUAUCUGGAGGAACACCGGUGGCGAAGGCGGCAUCCUGGACCGACACUGACGCUGAGGAGCGAAAGCCAGGGGAGCAAACGGG
rnacentral:rRNA from 1 species